CGCAAAACAUUCCAGGCAAAGGCAUCUCCCUGUGAAGGUCUAAAGGGCAUGUGCCUGGCACAUGUGAGUAGAGCUAAGGAGACAGCAGCUUGGGCAUUUGUGUGUGUGUAUACGCAUUCGCGUGUGCGCAAACACACUCAAGAGUGCAUAGGAACGGAAUGUUCACGGAGGAGAAAGGCCAGACAAAAAGACAAAGCCUGGGUGUUCACACUUGAUCUUUGGACAAUGUUCUGAGCAAAACAGGAAGAAGGCAGAUGGUGGUCUUUUGCGUGGUCAUCUUCAAGAGCUCAGCAAAGUUGGCCUGGAACCUGGGCAUGUCUUCUGCUGCCCUCCUACCAAGUCUGCAGGAAGACAGUCUUGAGGGCCAUUCUUCUUCCUGUCACUGGGGUCUCUUUAACCCAUGGUGGCCCUGAGAGUCUCUACCUGAGUUAGCAUUCUUGUGAGUCCAAACCAAACACUACCUUUGCAAGACUCUGCUGUCAACUGGUUUCACUUUUUUGUAUUAUUUUUAAUAGAUGCUUCUUUACCUUAGCUUUGAUUUUUUUUCCUCAUUAUGGUGCAACAAUUUUGGUAAUAAAACAAGCAACCAACUCUUGUUUGGUAAUAAAGUUGCUACCUACUCUA